CGAUGCAGUUAGUGCAAUGAAGUAGGUCACACUUACAAAUAUUAUCCCAAAAGUGCAGGCGGUGAUGCACCUGUUGUCUAGAGAUGGCUCAGCCUUCGACCCCAGAGCUUUUGGACCCUGCCGUGGACAAGAAGCAUCGCAGCUUCUUAUCCGCCGAGCACCAGACGGACCUAGGAGUGUUUCGCCCACGAGGCCCUGGAGAGCUGCUGACGGUAGACGAGCGCUGGACCCACAGGUUGGGAGCGGCCGGACUCCUACCGCUUUGCCGGUUGGUCGAGGCCCGAUCGACGGAG